GAUAAAAGUAUAAUAACAAAUCAGCUUCCACUCAUGUAAGCCGAUAGGUAUCUCUCUGCCAAGAAGAAUCUUGCUUUAUGACUUGUGAAUUGAAAUUUGUAUCCUCUCUAAGCACUAUUCUAUCCAAAGAUUAAGCUCUCCCUUUCUGUUGCCCUUUUGGCCUGCAGCUGCUGACAACGACAUGAGAAAUUGGCUGAAGUGCUCGAUGAAGCAGUCAAGCUGGGACUGUGUAUCCAUCUCUUACAUGAGGCUCUUUGCCUAAAGCAUCUAUCACCUCUGUCCAGCUUCUGGAAACUCCUGGGAUAGGAGAGCAAACCAGUCAAGAUCAUGAUGUAUUAAAUGAAGCAUGUAUAAAACCUGGAUGCAGAGACCUCUAUUCAUGUCCAACGCCUUUCCUGGGAAUGGCAGCAGGGGCACUUUAAUAGCAGGAGCUGCAAUCAGGUCUCAGGAUUCAGCAGUUGACCUCUUGCCCAUUUGUCUUUUGCAACAUCCAAGUUUCUCAUGGUCAGCUGAGCCCCAUGGACAACAACUCUGCCGACGUGUACCUGGCAACUGUGGGGAGUCACAAAGGCUCUGUGGUGAGACAGCUUGCUUACUGCAUGUGCCAGGAGAAGCAGCCAUGAUUCCUGACAUCUUGCACUGGGAGGAGUAAGAGGCCAGCUCCCCAGAGCUGGAAUGGGAGGAAGGACAUUGCCAAAGAGUGGCUUUUUCCCUGCUGGGAAGGAAAUUCCAACCAUUUUUUAUGGUGAGUUGAUUUUUGCACUUCACAAAACGUGACCAUCUUAUCAAGACUAGUAACCUGCAGUUAAUGCACCUACUUGUGUGUUCAAGAGAAUAAAUUCACUCAAGUCAGAAUUUUGACUGUAAAC
rnacentral:lncRNA from 1 species